AGAGUUUGAUCAUGGCUCAGGAUGAACGCUGGCGGCGUGCCUAACACAUGUAAGUCGAACGUGAAGCACUUCUUCGGAAGGGUGGAAAGUGGCGAACGGGUGAGUAACACGUGGGUGACCUGCCCCGAGACGGGGGACAACCGUGGGAAACUACGGCUAAUACCCCAGAUGUCUAAGUUGUUAGAGGACUUAGACUAAAAUUACGGUGUCUUGGGAGGGGCCCGCGGGCUAUCAGCUUGUUGGUGGGGUAAUGGCCUACCAAGGCUAAGACGGCUAGGGGGCGUGAGAGCGCGACCCCCCACAAUGGAACUGAGACACGGUCCAUACUCCUACGGGAGGCAGCAGUGAGGAAUAUUGCACAAUGGGGGAAACCCUGAUGCAGCAACGCCGCGUGGAUGAUGAAGGCUUUCGGGUCGUAAAAUCCUUUUUUAGGGAACGAUAAUGACGGUACUCUAAGAAUAAGUCCCGGCUAACUACGUGCCAGCAGCCGCGGUAAAACGUAGGGGGCGAGCGUUAUCCGGAUUUAUUGGGCGUAAAGCGCACGUAGGUGGUGCUAUAAGUUGGAUGUUAAAGCUCUCGGCUUAACCGGGAGAGGUCAUUCAAGACUGUAGUGCUUGAGGUUGGAAGAGGAGAGCGGAAUUCCCGGUGUAGUGGUGGAAUGCGUAGAUAUCGGGAGGAACACCAGUGGCGAAAGCGGCUCUCUAGUCCACACCUGACACUGAGGUGCGAAAGCGUGGGGAGCGAACGGGAUUAGAUACCCCGGUAGUCCACGCUGUAAACGAUGGAUACUAGGCGUGGGAGGUUCUUUACCCCUUCUGUGCCGUAGCUAACGCGUUAAGUAUCCCGCCUGGGGACUACGGCCGCAAGGCUAAAACUUAAAGGAAUUGACGG
rnacentral:rRNA from 1 species